UAAGCGGAGGAAAAGAAACUAACAAGGAUUCCCCUAGUAACUGCGAGUGAAGCGGGAAAAGCUCAAAUUUAAAAUCUGGCGGCUUUUGGCUGUCCGAGUUGUAGUCUGGAGAAGUGCUUUCCGCGCUGGACCGUGUACAAGUCUCUUGGAACAGAGCGUCAUAGAGGGUGAGAAUCCCGUCUUUGACACGGACUACCAGUGCUUUGUGAUGCGCUCUCAAAGAGUCGAGUUGUUUGGGAAUGCAGCUCAAAAUGGGUGGUAAAUUCCAUCUAAAGCUAAAUAUUGGCGAGAGACCGAUAGCGAACAAGUACCGUGAGGGAAAGAUGAAAAGCACUUUGGAAAGAGAGUUAAACAGUACGUGAAAUUGCUGAAAGGGAAACGCUUGAAGUCAGUCGCGUUGACCAGAACUCAGCCUUGCUUUUGCUUGGUGCACUUUCUGGUUGACGGGCCAGCAUCAAUUUUGAUUGUUGGAUAAAGGCUGGGGGAAUGUGGCACCUUCGGGUGUGUUAUAGCCCUCGGUCACAUACAACAGUUGGGAUUGAGGAUCUCAGCACGCCUUUAUGGUCGGGGUUCGCCCACGUUCGUGCUUAGGAUGCUGGCAUAAUGGCUUUAAACGACCCGUCUUGAAACACGGACCAAGGAGUCUAACAUGCCUGCGAGUGUUUGGGUGGAAAACCCGAGCGCGUAAUGAAAGUGAAAGUUGAGAUCCCUGUCAUGGGGAGCAUCGACGCCCGGACCUGACCUUCUGUGACGGCUCCGCGGUAGAGCAUGUAUGUUGGGACCCGAAAGAUGGUGAACUAUGCCUGAAUAGGGUGAAGCCAGAGGAAACUCUGGUGGAGGCUCGUAGCGAUUCUGACGUGCAAAUCGAUCGUCAAAUUUGGGUAUAGGGGCGAAAGACUAAUCGAACCAUCUAGUAGCUGGU
rnacentral:rRNA from 1 species